rnacentral:rRNA from 1 species
GACGAACGCUGGCGGCGUGCUUAACACAUGCAAGUCGAACGGAAAGGCCCUGCUUGCCGGGUACUCGAGUGGCGAACGGGUGAGUAACACGUGGAUGAUCUGCCCUGCACUUCGGGAUAAGCCUGGGAAACUGGGUCUAAUACCGGAUAGGAGCCAUUUUUAGUGUGAUGGUUGGAAAGUUUUUUCGGUGUAGGAUGAGCUCGCGGCCUAACAGCUUGUUGGUGGGGUAAUGGCCUACCAAGGCGGCGACGGGUAGCCGGCCUGAGAGGGUGGACGGCCACAUUGGGACUGAGAUACGGCCCAGACUCCGACGGGAGGCAGCAGUGGGGAAUAUUGCACAAUGGGCGCAAGCCUGAUGCAGCGACGCCGCGUGGGGGAGGACGGCCUUCGGGUUGUAAACUCCUUUCGCUAGGGACGAAGCUUUUUGUGACGGUACCUAGAUAAGAAGCACCGGCUAACUACGUG